AAAAUAUAAUUAUAUAUUUCAAUUUUAUGUGCGUAUUUAUUUGUUUAAUAUGUCUUAGGAAAAUGUUCGUGUUCACUUAAGUAACAAAAGAUCUUAAGAAAAGGUGUAUUACUUGAAUUAUAAAAGAUCCCAGAAAAUUCAUUUCUUUUUCAAAGGGUUAGCUAAAAUUUUGAAGUGAUUAAGCAUUUAAGUAUUUUUUUUUCAAUUCUACAGCCAUUUUGUUAACUCCAAAGACCCAUUCAAGCAACUGAGUAGGCAUUCCUGCAAUACAGAGUUGAAUAUUCAGAACCAAGGGCACAUGGACAAUUCAUAUAAUUUUGAUAAUCUGAAGGCACAGUCACAUAAUUAUAGGUGGAGACAAUUCCAUGAAAAGUCCAUUAUAAAUCUUUGAUACAGAAGGGAAUGAACACUGAUUGAAUACCUAUGCACUUAUAACUUGGUAUAGUUGAAUACUCACAAUAACCCUACAAAGUUGGGAGGAAACUGAAGACCACAGAGGUUAAAUAAUUUAUCCAGGACCACCCAGCUUGUAAAUGGCAGAGCUGGGAUUUGAAAUCAGGCCUGUGUGACUUCACAGACUGUAUUAUUUUCUCUAUACCGCUUUGCCUUUACUGAAACACCACCAAUCUGUUUUCUGCUUGGUCUGGCAACUUUCAAGUUCAACUUGGAGAAAAUAAUAGACUUCGCUUAAGAACCCACUGUGUUGUUUCAAAUAUCUGUUCUGCGGGAAGAAAAUCGACUGCUUAUCAUAUUCUAAUGGGCAAUGGCCCUCACAAUAUUGACAGCAUAUUUAGGAGAGAAAGAUAAAGAUUUAGACAAGAUAGUAGAAGGACACAUGUGCACACACAUGUGCACGCACACACACAACUAGUGAUGAAGACCCACAUCCGGGAGGUCAGAAUAGGAAAGAUGUGGACUCCCUUAAGGAUUCAGGUAAAAUGGAGGGAAAGGUUGGUCAGGACAGAGUGAUGAAGAAUUAAGUCAUUAUGGGGAAAUGAACUGUCAUCUAGCUUCACAGAAAAAUAAAACGCUUUUCUUUUCCACAUUAAAACUGAAGAACAUAUGCCUUCUUACUCUACUUGAAAAUGAUACCAAUUCUGUUAAAGAAAAAACUGAGCUGUGAAUUUUUCAUUAUCUUUGAAAGUAGUUGUACAUUUUUGUGGCAGAUGAAUUUUGUUACAGUAUCUCCAGUCUCUGGUAUAGCAAGUCUCUCACACAAUAAAUCUUUUAUGACUGGAGAAAACUGUCUGUUUUUUGCCUAAAUAAACUUUUUCCCAUGAGAUGUUCUUCAAAAAGUAUAGCAACUUUAGAAACCUUCAGUUGUGGAAUCUAUUUUAAGUUUUUGGCACAAUGAGACCAACUCUUGAAUUCGCAAAAGGUAACGUAGGCUUUCACACUCCCUGGAAGAGCUAGCUUUCUUUAGGGGAGGAAGCUACUUCCUGUUUUGUCUGUGAGCAGAAGUACUCUUGCCAAAGUCACUUCUCCCCCACACUUUCCAGCUAGUAUUCUCAAGGCUGGGGGCAGAUUGUCUUAGGUCGUCACCCUUUUGGAUCUUCAUUGCUGUUGCUGUAGAAGAUUUUUUGCUAUAGGAGAGCAGUCUUCUACUUCAUUCUGAAAAAAGCAGAAGUAAAGGAUUUGGGAAAAUGUUCCCUCUUUGAGCGGAAGCAUUCUGUAGAUGAAGUAACAGGCUAAGAGCAAUGCAAUUUGAGGCUCUCUUUUUGAAAUAAAAUCAAAGCGAACCAAGACACAAAUAUCAGAGGAGCUAAAGCAGUGCUGGUAGGAGAAACCAGGUCUUUACAAUUUGAACUGGUUAUUAUUUUCACAAGACUUUAUUUCACAGUGUCGUUACCUUGGUGCUAUUGACAUCUUGUGCGAGAUGAUUCUUUGCUGUCGCGACUAUUCUGUGGAUUGUAGAAUGUUUAGGAGCAUCUCUGGCUUAUGCUCGAUAGAUACCAGUAGCACCCCCCACCCAGUUGUGAUAACUAAAAUGUCUUCAGGCAAUUGGCAAAUACCCCCUGAGGACAGCAUCUCCCCACAGCUUAUUUUAAUUUAUACGUAAAGUCUGGCAUAUUAAUAUUUAUUGAAUGAAUACAUUAACAAGUGAAGGUGAUUAAAUUGUCUAUUCCCAUUGCCUGGUAUACAGGUGAUUACUCAGCAAAUAAUCAUUCUCCCUUCCAGGUGUAAUAUCUUGCAAGUAAAUUUGCUUACACAAGGAAGCUAUUGAGCUAAAGUAGGAAAGUAUCCAAGAAAGAAAAAAAAAAAACAGCUUCCAAAUACCAGAGAGAUGAAACUCUGAUUCCUUCAUGAAAUGAAUUGAAAGUACUCUGUGUAACUGAAGGCAAACUUUUAAUCAAUUGGAUUUCAAGGGUGCGGGCUGAGUCUAUGCCGUGCAAUGACUGGACAGUAAAUCACCUACCAGAAGCUGCUAAACUUCACGUGGUGCUCUCCACCAAAAUGGCUAGAGAGAUCCACCAUUGGCAGCACACUCCCUUCAACUUGCUGUUUCUAUACUGGAAAUUGUUUUAUUUGAUCCAACCAUAUCACCGCCUAGGUAGGGUAAUGUCUUGCCCAAACAGUGAAGUCUCUUAAGUCCAUCUUUGAAAUAAAAAUUGGCGACAUUC